CAAGGUUUUGCAUAAUCAAAUUGUUCUUUUCUCACUCUCAGUUUUGCUGACACAAGAAGGAGCAACGUGAUCUGCACACAGGCCAGUCUUCCUCAGCACUUCACACCUUAGGGUCUCCAAUACAAGAGGAAAUUAUCUCCAGCUGAUGAGAAAAAGAAUAACUGGAGCAUCCCUUGGGAGAAGGAAGUGCCUGGCACUGCCCAUAGAAUGCAGGGUGAGCUGCUGUCCGGUGUUCCUCAGCUCCAUAUGCCUCAGGUGCUGGUGAGGAGGUGUGAGUGACAGCCCAUCACUCACUUCAUGACCCAACUCGGAUUUUCUGGAGCAAGCACACAGCAAGCCUUUCCCGCACAGACCAGGAGCAUCGCUUCUCAUGGCAGCUUUUUGCAACAACUUAUGGAGGUGGAUUUCUGGAAUCUUAGGAGUAUCAUGCAUUUUGUUGAUAGCUGCAUUGGGAAUGUUGCUGCUGG